GGGUUGUGAGGUUAAGCGACUAAGCGUACACGGUGGAUGCCCUGGCAGUCAGAGGCGAUGAAGGACGUGCUAAUCUGCGAAAAGCGUCGGUAAGGUGAUAUGAACCGUUAUAACCGGCGAUGUCCGAAUGGGGAAACCCAGUGUGAUUCGUCACACUAUCGUUAACUGAAUACAUAGGUUAACGAGGCGAACCGGGGGAACUGAAACAUCUAAGUACCCCGAGGAAAAGAAAUCAACCGAGAUUCCCCCAGUAGCGGCGAGCGAACGGGGAGCAGCCCAGAGUCUGAAUCAGCUUGUGUGUUAGUGGAACGGUCUGGAAAGUCCGACGGUACAGGGUGAUAGUCCCGUACACCAAAAUGCACAGGCUGUGAACUCGAAGAGUAGGGCGGGACACGUGGUAUCCUGUCUGAAUAUGGGGGGACCAUCCUCCAAGGCUAAAUACUCCUGACUGACCGAUAGUGAACCAGUACCGUGAGGGAAAGGCGAAAAGAACCCCGGCGAGGGGAGUGAAAAAGAACCUGAAACCGUGUACGUACAAGCAGUGGGAGCACCUUCGGGUGUGACUGCGUACCUUUUGUAUAAUGGGUCAGCGACUUAUAUUCUGUAGCAAGGUUAACCGUAUAGGGAGCCGCAGGGAAACCGAGUCUUAACUGGGCGUUAAGUUGCAGGGUAUAGACCCGAAACCCGGUGAUCUAGCCAUGGGCAGGUUGAAGGUUGGGUAACACUAACUGGAGGACCGAACCGACUAAUGUUGAAAAAUUAGCGGAUGACUUGUGGCUGGGGGUGAAAGGCCAAUCAAACCGGGAGAUAGCUGGUUCUCCCCGAAAGCUAUUUAGGUAGCGCCUCGUGAAUUCAUCUUCGGGGGUAGAGCACUGUUUCGGCUAGGGGGUCAUCCCGACUUACCAACCCGAUGCAAACUACGAAUACCGAAGAAUGUUAUCACGGGAGACACACGGCGGGUGCUAACGUCCGUCGUGAAGAGGGAAACAACCCAGACCGCCAGCUAAGGUCCCAAAGUCAUGGUUAAGUGGGAAACGAUGUGGGAAGGCACAGACAGCCGGAUGUUGGCUUAGAAGCAGCCAUCAUUUAAAGAAAGCGUAAUAGCUCACUGGUCGAGUCGGCCUGCGCGGAAGAUGUAACGGGGCUAAACCAUGCACCGAAGCUGCGGCAGCGACACUAUGUGUUGUUGGGUAGGGGAGCGUUCUGUAAGCCUGCGAAGGUGACCUGUGAGGGUUGCUGGAGGUAUCAGAAGUGCGAAUGCUGACAUAAGUAACGAUAAAGCGGGUGAAAAGCCCGCUCGCCGGAAGACCAAGGGUUCCUGUCCAACGUUAAUCGGGGCAGGGUGAGUCGACCCCUAAGGCGAGGCCGAAAGGCGUAGUCGAUGGGAAACAGGUUAAUAUUCCUGUACUUGGUGUUACUGCGAAGGGGGGACGGAGAAGGCUAUGUUAGCCGGGCGACGGUUGUCCCGGUUUAAGCAUGUAGGCUGAUUAUCCAGGCAAAUCCGGAUAAUCAAGGCUGAGGUGUGAUGACGAGGCACUACGGUGCUGAAGUAACAAAUGCCCUGCUUCCAGGAAAAGCCUCUAAGCAUCAGGUAACAUCAAAUCGUACCCCAAACCGACACAGGUGGUCAGGUAGAGAAUACCAAGGCGCUUGAGAGAACUCGGGUGAAGGAACUAGGCAAAAUGGUGCCGUAACUUCGGGAGAAGGCACGCUGGUGUGUAGGUGAAGUCCCUGCGGAUGGAGCUGAGACCAGUCGAAGAUACCAGCUGGCUGCAACUGUUUAUUAAAAACACAGCACUGUGCAAACACGAAAGUGGACGUAUACGGUGUGACGCCUGCCCGGUGCCGGAAGGUUAAUUGAUGGGGUUAUCCGUAAGGAGAAGCUCUUGAUCGAAGCCCCGGUAAACGGCGGCCGUAACUAUAACGGUCCUAAGGUAGCGAAAUUCCUUGUCGGGUAAGUUCCGACCUGCACGAAUGGCGUAAUGAUGGCCAGGCUGUCUCCACCCGAGACUCAGUGAAAUUGAACUCGCUGUGAAGAUGCAGUGUACCCGCGGCAAGACGGAAAGACCCCGUGAACCUUUACUAUAGCUUGACACUGAACAUUGAGCCUUGAUGUGUAGGAUAGGUGGGAGGCUUUGAAGCGUGGACGCCAGUCUGCGUGGAGCCAACCUUGAAAUACCACCCUUUAAUGUUUGAUGUUCUAACGUUGGCCCCUGACCGGGGUUGCGGACAGUGUCUGGUGGGUAGUUUGACUGGGGCGGUCUCCUCCCAAAGCGUAACGGAGGAGCACGAAGGUUAGCUAAUCCUGGUCGGACAUCAGGAGGUUAGUGCAAUGGCAUAAGCUAGCUUGACUGCGAGCGUGACGGCGCGAGCAGGUGCGAAAGCAGGUCAUAGUGAUCCGGUGGUUCUGAAUGGAAGGGCCAUCGCUCAACGGAUAAAAGGUACUCCGGGGAUAACAGGCUGAUACCGCCCAAGAGUUCAUAUCGACGGCGGUGUUUGGCACCUCGAUGUCGGCUCAUCACAUCCUGGGGCUGAAGUAGGUCCCAAGGGUAUGGCUGUUCGCCAUUUAAAGUGGUACGCGAGCUGGGUUUAGAACGUCGUGAGACAGUUCGGUCCCUAUCUGCCGUGGGCGCUGGAGAAUUGAGGGGGGCUGCUCCUAGUACGAGAGGACCGGAGUGGACGCAUCACUGGUGUUCGGGUUGUCAUGCCAAUGGCACUGCCCGGUAGCUAAAUGCGGAAGAGAUAAGUGCUGAAAGCAUCUAAGCACGAAACUUGCCCCGAGAUGAGUUCUCCCUGAGACUUUAAGUCUCCUGAAGGAACGUUAAAGACGAUGACGUUGAUAGGCCGGGUGUGUAAGCGCAGCGAUGCGUUGAGCUAACCGGUACUAAUGAACCGUGAGGCUUAACCUUACAACGCCGAAG
rnacentral:rRNA from 1 species